CAGAGUGUAGCUUAAUUCAAAGCACUUGGCUUAUACCCAAGAGAUUUCAUAUUUACUGACCACUCUGA
rfam:Oryctolagus cuniculus unplaced genomic scaffold chrTn0634, whole genome shotgun sequence.